rnacentral:snoRNA from 1 species
UAACACAUUCAACAGUAGGAUCAUUUCUAUAGGAAUCGUCACUCUUUGACUCUUCAAAAGAGCCACUGAAUCCAACUUGGUUGAUGAGCCCAUAUCCUUUGUACCCCAGAGUGAGAAACUAAAAUUAAACCUAAAUUAGCUUGGUCCGCAAUCCUUAGCGGUUCGGCCAUCUAUAAUUUUGAACAAAAAUUUUGCUUUGCCGUUGCAUUUGUGAAUACUUCCUUUGGAAGUACUUACGAUAUUAAAUGGCGCGAUGAUCUUGACCCAUCCUAUGUACUUCCUUUUUGGAAGGGAUAGGGCUUCAUGGGUGGGUACAAAUGGCAGUCUGACAAGU